rnacentral:pre_miRNA from 8 species
GAGUGAGCAGCAGUCUCUCUGGCCACUCUGGGCUUCUCUACAGUGUUGCCUUGUAGCCUGGUGAUCAAGCAGCAUUGUACAGGGCUUUCAGCGUGUACAGAACACCAUCAGAGCGGAAAC